rnacentral:rRNA from 1 species
CAGCAGCCACGGUAAUACGUAGGUGGCAAGCGUUGUCCGGAAUUAUUGGGCGUAAAGGGCUCGCAGGCGGUUUCUUAAGUCUGAUGUGAAGGCCCCCGGCUCAACCGGGGAGGGUCAUUGGAAACUGGGAAACUUGAGUGCAGAAGAGGAGAGUGGAAUUCCACGUGUAGCGGUGAAAUGCGUAGAGAUGUGGAGGAACACCAGUGGCGAAGGCGACUCUCUGGUCUGUAACUGACGCUGAGGAGCGAAAGCGUGGGGAGCGAACAGGAUUAGAUACCCGCGUAGUCCCUGUCUCUUAUAU